UGGCUCAGCGGCUUCAGUAACCUCAGCAACAACGGAUUCUUGAACGUCUUCAGUAGGUGGGAGGUAUUCGUUUUGUGGGACUUCAUCAACAUCACGGCGCUUACGGUAUUUCAAACGACGGACUGUUUUGUAACGGUAACCAUCAGCAGCCAAUUCGGUUCCUUCGUCAGCAGUAGGCUCAGUGGCUUCAGCAGCUUCAGCAACAAUGGAUUCUUGAGCAUCCUCAGUAGGUGGGAGGUAUUCGUUUUGUGGGACUUCAUCAACAUCACGGCGCUUACGGUAUUUCAAACGACGGACUGUUUUGUAACGGUAACCAUCAGCAGCCAAUUCGGUUCCUUCGUCAGCAGUAGGCUCAGUGGCUUCAGCAACUUCAGCAACAAUGGAUUCUUGAGCUUCCUCAGUAGGUGGGAGGUAUUCGUUUUGUGGGACUUCAUCAACAUCACGGCGUUUGCGGUACUUCAAGCGACGGACUGUUUUGUAACGGUAACCAUCAGCAGCCAAUUCAGUUCCUUCUUCAGCAGCGGGCUCAGAUGGCUCAGCUACUUCAGCAACCUCAGCAACAACGGAUUCUUGAGCAUCCUGAGUAGGUGGGAGGUAUUCGUUUUGUGGGACUUCAUCAACGUCACGGCGCUUGCGGUAUUUCAAACGACGGACUGUUUUGUAACGGUAACCAUCAGCAGCCAAUUCAGUUCCUUCCUCAGCGGCGGGCUCAACUGGCUCAGCUGCUUCAGCAACCUCAGCAACAACGAAUUCUUGAGCAUCUUCAGUAGGUGGGAGGUAUUCGUUUUGUGGGACUUCAUCAACGUCACGGCGCUUGCGGUAUUUCAAACGGCGAACAGUCUUGUAACGGUAACCAUCAGCAGCCAAUUCAGUUCCUUCCUCAGCAGCGGGCUCAACUGGC